rnacentral:rRNA from 1 species
CGAGUGGCGAACGGGUGAGUAACACGUGAGCAACCUGCCCUUGACUUCGGAAUACCAGCUGGAAACAGCUGCUAAUACCGGAUACGACCUCAUCCCUCCUGGGUAGAGGUGGAAAAGCUCCGGCGGUCAAGGAUGGGCUCGCGGCCUAUCAGCUUGUUGGUGAGGUAACGGCUCACCAAGGCUUCGACGGGUAGCCGGCCUGAGAGGGCGACCGGCCACACUGGGACUGAGAUACGGCCCAG